CCUACGGGUGGCUGCAGUGGGGAAUAUUGGACAAUGGGCGAAAGCCUGAUCCAGCCAUGCCGCGUGUGUGAAGAAGGCCUUCGGGUUGUAAAGCACUUUCAGUGGGGAAGAAAGCCUUGGGGCUAAUACCCUCGAGGAAGGACAUCACCCACAGAAGAAGCACCGGCUAACUCCGUGCCAGCAGCCGCGGUAAUACGGAGGGUGCGAGCGUUAAUCGGAAUUACUGGGCGUAAAGCGCGCGUAGGCGGUCUGAUAAGCCGGUUGUGAAAGCCCCGGGCUCAACCUGGGAACGGCAUCCGGAACUGUCAGGCUAGAGUGCAGGAGAGGAAGGUAGAAUUCCCGGUGUAGCGGUGAAAUGCGUAGAGAUCGGGAGGAAUACCAGUGGCGAAGGCGGCCUUCUGGACUGACACUGACGCUGAGGUGCGAAAGCGUGGGUAGCAAACAGGAUUAGAUAUCCGAGUAGUC
rnacentral:rRNA from 1 species